rnacentral:rRNA from 1 species
CCUACGGGUGGCAGCAGUGAGGAAUAUUGGUCAAUGGGCGAGAGCCUGAACCAGCCAAGUCGCGUGAAGGAUGACGGCCCUACGGGUUGUAAACUUCUUUUGUCAGGGAGCAAUUGGGUCCACGCGUGGGCUUAGCGAGAGUACCUGAAGAAAAAGCAUCGGCUAACUCGGUGCAAGCAGCCGCGGUAAUCCGGGGGAUGCGAGGUUUAUCGGGAUUUAUGGGGUUUAAAGGGUGCGUAGGCGGAAUUUCAAGUCAGCGGGAAAAAUUCGGGGCUCAACCCCGUCGUGCCGUUGAAACUGAUGGUCUUGAGUGGGCGAGAGGUAUGCGGAAUGCGUGGUGUAGCGGUGAAAUGCAUAGAUAUCACGCAGAACUCCGAUUGCGAAGGCAGCAUACCGGCGCCCAACUGACGCUGAAGCACGAAAGCGUGGGUAUCGAACAGGAUUAGAUACCCGGGUAGUC